GGUGAGCGGUGUGCGUAGUGCUGGUCUGCGUUCAGUGCGGUCACCAGUUUGUGUUUUGCAGACUGCGGGACUGUGCUCACACCACACCUGCAGCCACAGAGCCACUGGAGAUCAUAGUACUGGCUUAGUGAGGUCUCUACCAAGAGACUUUCUACCACUGGCCAGCCUCCAUACUCUCCUACAAAA